UGCAGGAAGAGAUCUUUCAGCUUGUGGGAGCCCCUCUUGUAGAGAACUGUCUGGCUGGAUUUAAAAGUUCUGUUUUUGCCUAUGGACAGCCAUUGGGAACUAUUCAUUUUCCGAGUGGGAGGCUAUUCCAUGGGGUCUUGAAGGUGUUCUUGCGUAUCUAAAGCAGAGCUAUAACAAUCCUCCGAUCUACAUUCUUGAAAAUGGUAAACCGAUGAUACACGACUCGAUGAUGAGAAAAACCCUUAUCUACCAAAGCACAUUCUAUACAGGCAGAAAGAACAGUUCAGUGAUGGAGUAGGAUACAGCUGGAUUGAUGGUCGAAAAGAUCAUGCAAACAAACAUGUCUCUGACACAAUGCUGAUGAACGCAAGCUUUGUCUUCCCUGAUAACACACCUAUGACAAAAGAAGCUUACUACUACAGAACCAUCUUUGAAAAGUUCUUCCCUAAGAGUGCAGCUAGAGCGACUGUACCAGGAGGUCCAAGUGUGGCAUGUAGUACAGCAAAAGCUGUAGAGUGGGACGCAGCUUGGUCACAGAAUCUUGAUCCGUCAGGUCGUGCGGCUCUUGGAGUUCAUGUUGCAGCUUAUGAGGGAGAAGAUAAAGCAGAAGAUCCUCGUCCGGGGAAGGUGCAGAAACUAGCAGAGAAGACUGCAGGGAUUGUUUGAGAAUAAGCAAGGUUUAAAAGCUACCGUACUACUUAUCCUCUUUUGUAGGAUUGAUGACUGAAUAGGCAAUCUUUAUUCUUUCCUUCUGGGGUUUUGCAACACUCCAUGGAGACUGAGUUGAGUUAGCCCUGAAUUGUGUACCUAAAUAAUAAGUUGCUGGUGAAUUUCUGUUUUCUACAGUUGUUAGACUAUGACUAUCCAUGAAAGCUUGAUGCUACUUGAGAUUAUUAACGUUGUUUUCAUGAAUUCGAUUCUUCCUAAUUUUUUU